rnacentral:rRNA from 1 species
UACGGAGGGUGCAAGCGUUAAUCGGAAUUAUUGGGCGUAAAGCGCGUGUAGGCGGCUUUGCAAGUCGGGUGUGAAAGCCCUCAGCUCAACUGAGGAAGUGCGCCCGAAACUGCAGAGCUUGAGUGCCGGAGAGGGUGGCGGAAUUCCCCAAGUAGAGGGUGAAAUUCGUAGAUAUGGGGAGGAACACCGGUGGCGAAGGCGGCC